rnacentral:RNase_P_RNA from 10 species
GUCCUGUAUUAGAUAGCUACUCCGACUUCGGUCGGGGAGGAAAGUCCGAACACGCAGUUUCGACCUUGGGUCGGAAUUAAACGUAGCGGGUAACGCCCGCCAUCCGCAAGGAUUGAGGUGAGAACAGUGACGAAUCCCUCACCAAUUGUUAAAUUGGUGAGGGGGUGAAACGGCAAAAUCCUUACGCGCGUGCAAGAUCGUGUUCCCUCACCAGUUUAACUUAAACUGGUGAGGGAGAGAAUCGCUUGACCCUGAGAGUAAUUGAAGGGCUAGAUAAAUUGCUAUCGUCCGACUUUGGUCGGACUACAAAAUUCGGCUUAUAGAUACAAGACCAAG